rnacentral:lncRNA from 1 species
GUGAUAGGCCGUGGUUUACUGGAGGGGACAGAACUGUGAAUAGUUGAAGCCGUGAGGUCGGGAUGAUCAUCUCCUGCAGUCAGCUGCUGAGUGUGUGACCUGGAGAGGGAGCAAAGGCUAGACUGAAGAUCCAAACAAACGCGGGUGGCAGCAGCACACACGCGCACAGCAUGGGAAAAAGAGAGGGGAGAGGUGCCGAGGAAAAGGGAGGGGCCGGAGAAAGAGGCGGGAGGGAACAAAACAAGGGAAAGAGUUACUCUGCGAGUGGGAGAAGGAAGAAAGCUGCGGUCCGCUUGAGUUUGACGCCAGGCAUGCGGCAUCCUCGGCACAGCACGGAACCAAAAUAGAGCCGGGAACGUGGGGCGCGUUUCAGGAAAAGGGGACUGCAAGGAGAAGGGAAGCGUUAAUUCCCAACCAUGAAUCCCAGCAGCUCUCUACGGAGGGGUUUGUCCUCCCUUCGCGAUGCUUGGAGGUGGAGUACAGGUUACCUGUUCAAGGGCUCAACCAAAUCCUCCAAGAGCAUGGAGUCUCGACACAGACCAUCCAGGAGCUUGAGUCUGAUCCAGGCCAUGGAGGAAAACUAUGAGGUGGACCUGGUCUACAUCACAGAGCGCAUCAUUUCUGUGAGCUUCCCCAGUAAUGUAGAAGAGCCAAGCUACAGCGCUAACAUAAAGGAGGUCGCCACCAUGCUACGCUCCAAACAUGGUGACAACUACUUGCUCUUCAACCUCAGUGAAAAGCGAUUUGAUAUCUCCAAGCUGAAUCCCAAAGUGCUGGAUUUUGGCUGGCCGGACCAUCACGCUCCAGCCCUGGAUAAGAUCUGCAGCAUCUGCAAAGCCAUGGACACUUGGAUGAACGCUGACAGUCACAAUGUGGUGGUCUUACACAAUAAGGGAAACCGAGGUCGAACGGGGGUAGUUGUGGCUGCAUACAUGCAUUACAGCAACAUAUCAGCGAGUGCAGACCAGGCUCUGGACAGGUUUGCCAUGAAGCGGUUUUAUGAAGAUAAAGUGCUUCCUGUGGGUCAGCCCUCUUCCUGUGGGUAUGUGCAGUACUUCAGUGGUCUGCUCUCCGGCCAUAUCAAGAUCAACAACAAGCCCCUGUUCCUGCACCACGUCAUCAUGCACGGGAUCCCAAACUUCGAGUCCAAAGGAGGUUGCCGCCCUUUCCUCAAGAUCUACCAGGCUAUGCAAUUUCCUGAAUAUGGAAAAGUGGAAUUUGUCUUUUCUUUCGGCCCAGAAAAAAUCCAAGGAAUGGACCACCUUGAGAACGGGCCCAGUGUUUCUGUGGACUACAAUACCCAAGAUCCUCUGAUUCGCUGGGAUUCUUACGAGAACUUCAACCAGCACUGUGAAGAUUCAGAGGAGGACGUUAUUCACACACAAGGUCCAUUGGAUGGUAGUCUCUACGCUAAGGUUCGGAAGAAAGAGUCUCUUGAGGGAGGGGUCACAACCAAUGGUCUCCCAGCCAGUGUCGAUCACACUUUACCUGCUGUAGACCACACUCUACCACCAGUCGACCACGCCCUGUCUGUAAGCAGUGACUCGGGCAACUCCACUGCUUCCAUCAAAACCGACCGCACGGAUGAAGCCAUGAGUCAGCCGUCCUCCCAGCCCCUCAGCCCAGAGGAAAAACAGGAGCUGGACCAGUUGCUCAGUGGCUUGGAAGCACCAAUGCAACGCACAGGUUACCAAAGCAGCCCUGGCAGCGGAGGCGGUGGAGUCCUACACCUCGUCCCCGCCCAGGUUCAUGUCAAUGGACACAACAACAUAGACCGUGAGACAGAUAUCCUUGAUGAUGACCUGCCCAACAGUCAGGAAGGGAACAGUGCGGACAGUCUCGGGACCAUCUCGUCUUUUGAGGGCAGAGCCACUCCAGCAGAUCUGUACUACCAGCCAGAGACGGUCAUUAAUGGAAAAGAUGCACAAGAUGACUUAGAGAAGGGUGUCCACAAGAAAAUACCAGAGCCCAAAGUCCAAAGCUCCUCAUCUGUUCAAGAGCUCUUAGGGUCCUCUAGUGGCUUUGCCAACCAGAAUGGCAACAUCUGCCGAUCUCAAUCAUUAGGGGCAGCCCCGACCACAGAGCAGAAGUACAUGCCCAAAGCUCCCACACGCACGAUUAGCAGUAGGGAUGCAGUGCAAAGGGGACUGAAUGUGUGGCAACAAUAUGGUGUUCCUGAGGUCCCAGUCACAGAUGGGGUCACCUUCAACCCUGUACUACAGUCCCACAGUCUUCCAGAGUUUCCUCACAUGGCAUCUCAGCAAGAAAUUGAGCAGUCCAUUGAAGCACUUAACAUGCUGAUGCUGGACCUUGACCCAGCACUUACACAAGUCCCCAAGUCCCAUAGUGCCCCAUCUGGAGAUGGUGGAGUGGUCACCACUCAACCAUCAAACCCAUUAUCACAAACCCAAGCACGGCCGUCCUACCAAUCUGACACAGCCAUUCAUGGCCGUGGUGGAGUCUCUUGGGGGGGAUACCCUUCGACCUUUCAACAGGUAGCCGCAGAGCCUCCACAACCCACCAUGAACCAGCAGAGACCCACAGCCAUAUCCCAGCAUGCUGCAUUCCCUUCUGAGGCAGAAGGUUGGGCUCCAAUGUCCCAGUCCACAGUGCCUUCCACCGCCUUUGGAGUUCUCCAUUUGAAACCCCUCAACAUUUACCCCUCAAGUUCCACGUCCCAGUCCCCUGAGCCCCAGGAGAGUCAGCGUAGCUAUUCUGCCUCCUCAUCCCCUCUACCUAAAGAGUCUGAACCGGAAGAUGCCAACUACAAACUGGGUGGUCUUGUAGCUCACCGUGUAGCUGGAGUUCAGUCUGGUGAAAUGUCACCAGAUGAGACUUCAGUUCCUGGACGGUGCCGGACCAUCAGUGAGGACCUUUCCCAAGAUGAAAGCCCAACCCGAGGAAGCUCAGUCCGCUCCCCCAUCCGCUGCAUUUCACCCGAGUUGGCCAAUACGAUUGCUUUGAACCCUGGGGGGCGGCCCAAGGAGAGACACAUGCAUAGCUACAGAGAAGCGUUUGAGGAAAUGGAUGGGGGUCCCGUCAGCCCCCCUCCGAUCGCUAGUCGAUCUCCACCAGGACUGGCCAAAACACCACUGUCCUUCCUGGGCUUGAAACCCCACAACCCUGCUGAGAUACUGCUCAACCAGACAGGUUCAGAGCCUCGUAGCUAUGUGGAGUCUGUGGCCAAAGCAGCUGCAGGUGGGCUGCCAGCGUCGCCUGUGUCUCCAACAUAUGACAGCAACAGCUUUGCACGUCCUGUCGGGCCGUCCCAUGCCUACAACGCUCCUCUUUCCUCCAGCAUGUCCACUACCCUCAUGUUUCAUACAGUCGGGGUUGGGUUGAAUUCUUUGUCCCAGGCUGCUGUCGACUCUAUCCUUCACUCCCAGCCCUCCGAAAGCACAUACCAAACACCUACACCCUCUUACCCCACCUCUAGCAGCAUGUUGGGUGGCUACAUCACUCCUGAUAUCAGCCCCUCUCUGCCAGAGACCAUGCAAAAUAACGCCACCACCAUCCAGCCACUCGCCGGAAGCCCUGGCACAAGACACCAAGCCGUCCUGCCCGACAUGAUGUCCGCUCCCGGUCUCCAGCACAGAAUACCUAAUCAGGAUGUCCCCAUUCUGGCCCAACAACCAACCCCGGCCAAUGGUCAUCUGCCUGGAAUGGCCGGUAGUCCCAUGCAAGGAAGACAUGCAAUGGUGUCUCAAGGAACGCAGAGCAGUCCGAUGCUGUCCAGACAGUAUCCUGUCACCUAUGGGACUCAGAGUAGUCCGAUUCUCAGCAGACAACCUAUGGGACAAGCCGUCCAGAGCAGCCCCGUCCUCAACCAACAGGUGUCCCUAAAUCAACCAAUCAUUCUGCCUAACCAAAGCAGCCCGGUGUUGAGUAGACAGCCAUCCGUUAGCCAACCCAACCAGGGCAGCCCCGUCCUGAGCAGGCAAUCCCCACUUACACAUCCCAGUCAGGGCAGCCCCGUUCUGGGAUGCCAUCCGUCCCUAAUGCAGGGUAGCCCCAGUCUGGACAGGCACCCAAUGUACAGUGGUUACACUACUCCAGAAGAGCGACACGGAGCCCUUUCGCGCCAGAGCAGCUCCUCUGGAUACCAGCCACCAUCUACACCUUCUUUCCCAGUCUCUCCGGCUGGAUACAUAGAUGGAGUGGGAUUCAGACAGGGCAGUCCUGCCCCCCAACCUCAGCUCCCCGAAAAGAGACGUAUGUCCAGCAGCGAUCGCUCUACUGGUGGACUGUCCUACGGAACGCUCAACGGGAAGAUGUCCUCGCCAGUGUCCAGUGGUGGCAGCACUCCAAGCGCUCAUUUCUUCCACACGCUCCCUGAUUUCUCCAAACUCAACAUGUGCGAAGGAAGUCCAGAGACCAGUCUGCACGUGAAGUUUGUCCAGGACACGUCCAAAUUCUGGUAUAAACCAGAUAUCUCCAGAGACCAAGCCAUCAACAUGCUGAAAGAUCAAGAGCCUGGAGCCUUUGUCAUUCGGGACAGUCAUUCAUUCAGAGGGGCCUACGGCUUGGCCAUGAAAGUUGCCUCACCACCUCCGACUGUGCAACCUACAAAGAAAGCUGGAGAUGUCACUAAUGAGCUGGUGAGACAUUUCCUGAUUGAGACGAGUCCGAAAGGCGUGAGACUGAAGGGCUGCCCUAACGAGCUGUACUUUGGCUGCCUGUCUGCACUGGUCUACCAGCACUCAAUCACUCCACUGGCUCUACCCUGCAAACUAGUCAUACCAACCAGAGAUCCUCUAGAGGACUCUCCUGUGAUCGCAACACCAACUAACCCAGCGGCAGAGAUGCUCAAACAGGGUGCAGCAUGCAAUGUCCUGUACAUAAACUCGGUGGAUAUGGAGUCUCUGACUGGGCCUCAGGCCAUCGCCAAGGCCAUCUCAGAAACCAUGGUAGCCAGUCCCGCACCUUCAGCCACUAUUGUUCACUUUAAGGUGUCGGCACAAGGCAUCACUCUCACUGACAACCAGAGAAAGCUUUUCUUCAGACGUCAUUAUCCCAUCAGUACGGUCACGUUCUCAUUAACUUUAACCACAGCAGUCAAUCAAGGCAGCACGACAGACAACGUCAGUCACCUGUUCGCCGAGAUGGAUCCCAAUCAACCGGCCACGGCCAUCGUCAGCUUUGUCUCUAAAGUGAUGACCAACUCUCAGAAGCAGUGA